GCCAGGUGUGGUGGCUCGCGCCUGUAAUCCCAGCACCCUGGGAGGCCAAGGCAGGUGGAUUGCCUGAGGUCAGGAGUUCCUGACCAGCUUGACCAAUAUGGUGAAACCCUGUCUUUA
ensembl:misc_RNA Metazoa_SRP Metazoan signal recognition particle RNA